rnacentral:rRNA from 1 species
CGAUACAGGGUGAUAGUCCCGUAGUUGACGACGUGUGUUCAGUGAAAUCGAGUAGGGCGGGACACGUGAUAUCCUGUCUGAAUAUGGGGGGACCAUCCUCCAAGGCUAAAUACUACUGACUGACCGAUAGUGAACCAGUACCGUGAGGGAAAGGCGAAAAGAACCCCUGUGAGGGGAGUGAAAUAGAACCUGAAACCGUGUACGUACAAGCAGUAGGAGCAGGCUUGUCCUGUGACUGCGUACCUUUUGUAUAAUGGGUCAGCGACUUAUAUUCAGUGGCAAGGUUAACCAUCUAGGGGAGCCGUAGGGAAACCGAGUCUUAACUGGGCGUUCAGUCUCUGGAUAUAGACCCGAAACCAGGUGAUCUAGCCAUGGGCAGGUUGAAGGUUGAGUAACAUCAACUGGAGGACCGAACCGACUAAUGUUGAAAAAUUAGCGGAUGACUUGUGGCUAGGGGUGAAAGGCCAAUCAAACCUGGAGAUAGCUGGUUCUCCCCGAAAGCUAUUUAGGUAGCGCCUCGGACGAAUACUACUGGGGGUAGAGCACUGUUAAGGCUAGGGGGUCAUCCCGACUUACCAACCCUUUGCAAACUCCGAAUACCAGUAAGUACUAUCCGGGAGACACACGGCGGGUGCUAACGUCCGUCGUGGAGAGGGAAACAACCCAGACCGCCAGCUAAGGUCCCAAAUUACUACUAAGUGGGAAACGAUGUGGGAAGGCUCAGACAGCCAGGAUGUUGGCUUAGAAGCAGCCAUCAUUUAAAGAAAGCGUAAUAGCUCACUGGUCGAGUCGGCCUGCGCGGAAGAUGUAACGGGGCUAAGUAGUAAACCGAAGCUGCGGCAAUAUACUUUUGUAUAUUGGGUAGGGGAGCGUUCUGUAAGCGGUUGAAGGUGUGUGGUAACGCAUGCUGGACGUAUCAGAAGUGCGAAUGCUGACAUGAGUAACGAUAAAGGGGGUGAAAAACCUCCUCGCCGGAAGACCAAGGGUUCCUGUCCAACGUUAAUCGGGGCAGGGUAAGUCGACCCCUAAGGCGAGGCCGAAAGGCGUAGUCGAUGGGAAACGGGUUAAUAUUCCCGUACUUCUUACAAUUGCGAUGGGGGGACGGAGAAGGCUAGGUGGGCCUGGCGACGGUUGUCCAGGUUCAAGUGCGUAGGCUUAAGAGUUAGGUAAAUCCGGCUCUUUUUAAGGCUGAGACACGACGUCGAGCACCUACGGGUGUGAAGUCAUUGAUGCCAUGCUUCCAGGAAAAGCCUCUAAGCUUCAGAUUGUAAGGAAUCGUACCCCAAACCGACACAGGUGGUCGGGUAGAGAAUACCAAGGCGCUUGAGAGAACUCGGGUGAAGGAACUAGGCAGCUGACGAGAGUCGCAGAUACCAGGUGGCUGCAACUGUUUAUUAAAAACACAGCACUGUGCAAAAUCGUAAGAUGACGUAUACGGUGUGACGCCUGCCCGGUGCCGGAAGGUUAAUUGAUGGGGUUAGACUUCGGUCGAAGCUCUUGAUCGAAGCCCCGGUAAACGGCGGCCGUAACUAUAACGGUCCUAAGGUAGCGAAAUUCCUUGUCGGGUAAGUUC